GCCCUGUCUGUUGUUUACUCUAGAUAGCUAGAUUGGGUAGAUACAUUCUUACUUAAGUAGAAGGCAAGUACCUAGUUACUUGUUAGACUAGCGACUAAAGUAUCUCAGAGGUUUGUCUAUAAAAAUCGGAUUAUCUACUACUGUAGCUUUAUAUUUAAUGGGCCUGCUGAGCCUAUUAAAUUGUCAAGAUAUUUAGAUCAAUACGUUAUUAAGCGGCUCGUUGAGUUUCGAGACUAACACAUCCAUUUUAUAACAAAGCAGUAGUUUCCUGGCCAAUAUGAUAUUAAAUUCACAUUUACGAAGAAAACAGAAGUUAACGAUGGAAAGACUUUUUGAAUACUAAAACUUUACUGAAUUUACCAACCAAAUCGAAGAGACUGACGGGCCUUAUGAUCCUUGG